UAGGGAAUAUUGCACAAUGGGGGAAACCCUGAUGCAGCAACGCCGCGUGAGUGAAGAAGGUCUUCGGAUCGUAAAGCUCUGUUGUAUGGGACGAUAAUGACGGUACCAUACAAGGAAGCCACGGCUAACUACGUGCCAGCAGCCGCGGUAAUACGUAGGUGGCAAGCGUUGUCCGGAAUUACUGGGUGUAAAGGAUGCGUAGGCGGAUAUGUAAGUCAGAUGUGAAACCCCCGGGCUUAACCCGGGGCAUGCAUUUGAGACUGCAUAUCUAGAGUGCAGGAGAGGAAAGCGGAAUUCCUAGUGUAGCGGUGAAAUGCGUAGAUAUUAGGAAGAACACCAGUGGCGAAGGCGGCUUUCUGGACUGUAACUGACGCUGAUGCAUGAAAGCGUGGGGAGCAAACAGGAUUAGAUACCCUGGUAGUCCACGCCGUAAACGAUGGGUACUAGGUGUGGGAGGUAUCGACCCCUUCCGUGCCGCAGUAAACACAAUAAGUACCCCACCUGGGGAGUACGGUCGCAAGAUUA
rnacentral:rRNA from 1 species